UCAGUAACGUCAAGAGUUUUCACGUUGAACAUUUUUGAAUCCUAAUUGUAAAAGUUGCUAUGUAAUGUUACUUGUUUGUGGGGUUAUGAGGUAAUGAAGAAUCGCGCAAACGUAAAAAAGACGAAAACAUGUCAAGCUUCUGAGAAUUCAGGGAGACUGUAGUGCACCUUCAUCAACGGUGGCGCUAGCAGAGUUUAAGCUAAUGUUAGCACCGCUACCGCUGCGCAAUGAAGGAAGCUAAACGCGCAGCUUGUCAGUGAUGAAGUUCAGGCUGAACUAUGGAGGACGACUGAAGAGCCGGAUUUAUUGGUCAACGCAGCAAUAGAUAAGCAAGGACCCUUGUACCUGAGCCCAGACCUGACCCCGAGACCUGUGACCUUACCUGCCAGGUCAUUCUCAUGCCACCCUGACCUGUCUUGAAACCAGAGAGCACCCUGGGAGAGGAAGCACACCAACAUCAAACAGAAUGUGACCUCAACAGCAACUUUCAGCACUUCUAAUGGCCUUGUUGGAAGAGGGGCCCUCUGAUUUACUCAUUUCACACCAAAAGUCAGGACAAUGAAAAAUCCUGGAAUGUGUUCACCUGCCUCUACAUCUCCACUUAAUGUCCAAGGAUACUUUGCAGGAAAAACAAUACUUGGCUGGUCAUUGUGAUUGGAUAUGACACACUGUGCUGCCAUUACCACACUAAUAAGGUUCCUGUUGGGAUGGUGGUGUUUGCCACACCUGAGCAGACCUGGCCAAUCUCCCAGGUGUAUGAAGUCCACCAGUUAAUCUCCACGCUGCUCUGCUACUGAUUCCUGAUGGCAUUUAGUUAUA